GAGGUGAUAUGGAUUAUGUCCUGUCUAGGUCGGUGAUAGGGUAGAAUAUUGAAUCAGAGGGGAUAUGAUAUAUGUCCUGUCUAGGUCGGUGAUAGGGUAGAAUAUUGAAUCAGAGGGGAUAUGAUAUAUGUCCUGUCUAGGUCGGUGAUAGGGUAGAAUAUUGAAUCAGAGGGGAUAUGAUAUAUGUCCUGUCCAGGUCAGUGAUAGGGUAGAAUAUUGAAUCAGAGGGGAUAUGAUAAAUGUCCUGUCCAGGUCAGUGAUAGGGUAGAAUAUUGAAUCAGAGGGGAUAUGAUAUAUGUCCUGUCUAGAUCGGUGAUAGGGUAGAAUAUUGAAUCAGAGGUGAUAUGGGAUAUGAUAUAUGUCCUGUCUAGGUCGGUGAUAGGGUAGAAUAUUGAAUCAGAGGGGAUAUGAUAUAUGUCCUGUCCAGGUCGGUGAUAGGGUAGAAUAUUGAAUCAGAGGUGAUAUGGGAUAUGAUAUAUGUCCUGUCUAGGUCGGUGAUAGGGUGGAAUAUUGAAUCAGAGGUGAUAUGGGAUAUGAUAUAUGUCCUGUCCAGGUCGGUGAUAGGGUAGAAUAUUGAAUCAGAGGUGAUAUGGGAUAUGAUAUAUGUCCUGUCCAGGUCGGUGAUAGGGUAGAAUAUUGAAUCAGAGGUGAUAUGGGAUAUGAUAUAUGUCCUGUCUAGGUCAGUGAUAGGGUAGAAUAUUGAAUCAGAGGUGAUAUGGGAUAUGAUAUAUGUCCUGUCUAGGUC